AGGGCACCACCAGGAGUGGAGCCUGCGGCUUAAUUUGACUCAACACGGGAAAUCUCACCAGGCCCGGACACUGGAAGGAUUGACAGAUUGAGAGCUCUUUCUCGAUUCGGUGGGUGGUGGUGCAUGGCCGUUCUUAGUUGGUGGAGUGAUUUGUCUGGUUAAUUCCGAUAACGAACGAGACUCUGUCCUGCUAAAUAGUUCCCGCGUCCUUUGUUGCGCGGGAAAUUCUUCUUAGAGGGACUGGCGGCGUCUAGCCGCACGAGAUUGAGCAAUAACAGGUCUGUGAUGCCCAUAGAUGUUCUGGGCCGCACGCGCGCUACACUGAAGGGAUCAGCGUGUCUUCCCUUCCCGAGAGGGACGGGUAACCCGCUGAACCCCCUUCGUGGUAGGGAUCGGGGCUUGCAAUUAUUCCCCGUGAACCAGGAAUUCCCAGUAAGCGCAAGUCAUAAGCUUGCGUUGAUUACGUCCCUGCCCUUUGUACACACCGCCCGUCGCUACUACCGAUUGAACGUUUUAGUG
rnacentral:rRNA from 1 species